UACGUAGGGUGCAAGCGUUAAUCGGAAUUACUGGGCGUAAAGCGUGCGCAGGCGGUUUUGUAAGUUUGUCGUGAAAGCCCCGGGCUCAACCUGGGAAUUGCGAUGAAGACUGCAAGGCUUGAAUCUGGCAGAGGGGGGUAGAAUUCCACGUGUAGCAGUGAAAUGCGUAGAGAUGUGGAGGAACACCGAUGGCGGAAGGCAGCCCCCUGGGUCAAGAUUGACGCUCAUGCACGAAAGCGUGGGGAGCAAACAGG
rnacentral:rRNA from 1 species